GACGAACGCUGGCGGCGUGCUUAACACAUGCAAGUCGAACGGAAAGGCCCUGCUUUUGUGGGGUGCUCGAGUGGCGAACGGGUGAGUAACACGUGAGUAACCUGCCCUUGACUUUGGGAUAACUUCAGGAAACUGGGGCUAAUACCGGCUAGGAGCUCCUGCUGCAUGGUGGGGGUUGGAAAGUUUCGGCGGUUGGGGAUGGACCCGCGGCCUAUCAGCUUGUUGGUGGGGUAGUGGCUUACCAAGGCGUCGACGGGUAGCCGGCCUGAGAGGGUGACCGGCCACAUUGGGACUGAGAAACGGCCCAGACGCCUACGGGAGGCAGCAGUGGGGAAUAUUGCACAAUGGGCGGAAGCCUGAUGCAGCAACGCCGCGUGCGGGAUGACGGCCUUCGGGUUGUAAACCGCUUUCGCCUGUGACGAAGCGUGAGUGACGGUAAUGGGUAAAGAAGCACCGGCUAACUACGUG
rnacentral:rRNA from 1 species